rnacentral:rRNA from 1 species
AUCGAACGCUGGCGGCAGGCCUAACACAUGCAAGUCGAGCGAGCGGCGGACGGGUGAGUAAUGUCUGGGAAACUGCCUGUUGGAGGGGGAUAACUACUGGAAACGGUAUCUAAUACCGUACACCAUCAGAUUUGCCCAGUUGGGAUUAGCUAGUAGGUGGGGUAACGGCUCACCUAGGCGACUAUCCCUAGCUGGUCUGAGAGGAUGACCAGCCACACUGGAACUGAGACACGGCCCAGACUCCUACGGGAGGCAGCAGUGGGGAAUAUUGCACAAUGGGCGCAAGCCUGAUGCAGCCAUGCCGCGUGUGUGAAGAAGGCCUUCGGAUUGUAAAGCACUUUAAGUUGGGAAGCGUUACCAACAGAGUAAGCAACGGCUAACUUCGUGCCAGCAGCCGCGGUAAUUC